UGGUUUUGUCCUAAGUCAAACCUCUUCAACUUUGACCAAGUUUAUAAAAAAAUAUAACAUUUUCAACAGAAAAUAAACAUACUAAAAAUAUUUUCAGUGAUAGUUUUAAUGAAACUAAUUUGGUUUUGUAGAUGUUAGUAUAUUUUUAUAUAAACUUGGUCAAAAUUGAAGAGGUUUGACUUAGGACAAACUCAA
rnacentral:pre_miRNA from 1 species